rnacentral:lncRNA from 1 species
UUAUUAUUCUAUUUAAAAGUAAUUUUUGGGGCAAAAUAAAAAUAAAAAUAUUAAAUAAUUUAGUAUAACUUGUUGAAUCGCCCAAGUGACGGAGUAAAAAUAAGUAAAAACAGCGAAAAAAAAAAUUAUGAAGAAAAGACUAAAUUACAUAUUUGGUUCUCAAACUACGAAAUAUUUGACAUUUUAAUUCUCAAACUUUAACUUGUAUAGUUUACACAUUUUAUAAUUAUGCUUUAUAAUAUAAUUUAUUUACUAAAGAGUGAUAUAUUGCUAAUAUAAUCUAUCUAUUUCUUUUCUUCUACAUUAAAAGAGGAUUUGGGGGGACGUUGGGGUGACACGUGUCCCCCAAACCCCCCUUUACUCUCUCUUCCUCUAUAUAUAUAUAUAUAUAUAGUGAGGCUACUAUGCUAUCAGAAGUACGGAGCCUUCCGUGCUUUCAGCUCGUUUUCGAUGUUGCGACUUUCGAAUCGUCGAUCGGCCCCGUUAAACUUGAUCUAGAGUAUUUGAAGUACCUAGAAAAUAAAUUUUAAGAUUU